GAUGAACGCUGGCGGCGUGCCUAAUACAUGCAAGUCGAGCGAACGCACGAUAAGCUUUUUCUUCUGCUGUUAGCGGCGGACGGGCGAGUAACACGUGGAUAGCCUACUUCUAUGACGGGGAUAACUUCGUGAAACCGGUGAUACUACCGGAUCAUAUUUUGAACCGCAUGGAUCAAAAGUGCAACACGCCUUUGCCGUCUCAUAUAGAUGGAUCCGCGCUGCAUUAGCUAGUUGGUAAGGUAACGGCCUACCAAGGCUACGAUGCGUAGCCGACCUGAGAGGAUGAUCGGCCACACUGGAACUGAGACACGGUCCAGACUCCUACGGGAGGCAGCAGUAGGGAAUCUUCGGCAAUGGGCGCAAGCCUGACGGAGCAACGCCGCGUGAGUGAUGAAGGUCUUCGGAUCGUAAAGCUCUGUUAUUAGGGAAGAACAUAUGUGGAAGUAACUGUGCACAUCUUGACGGUACCUAAUCAGAAAGCCACGGCUAACUUCGUG
rnacentral:rRNA from 1 species